rnacentral:rRNA from 1 species
UACGUAGGGUGCGAGCGUUAAUCGGAAUUACUGGGCGUAAAGCGUGCGCAGGCGGUUUUGUAAGCCAGAUGUGAAAUCCCCGGGCUUAACCUGGGAAUGGCAUUUGGGACUGCAAGGCUUGAGUGCGGCAGAGGAGACUGGAAUUCCUGGUGUAGCAGUGAAAUGCGUAGAUAUUGGGAGGAACACCAGUGGCGAAGGCGGCUCGCUGGACCGGUUCUGACGCUGAGGCGCGAAAGCGUGGGGAGCAAACGGG